rnacentral:rRNA from 1 species
CCUGGUUGAAUUUGCCAGUAGCAUAUGCUUGUCUCAAAGAUUAAGUUGUGCACCUGUAAGUACACAAGGCUAGUACAGUGAAACUGCAAAUAGCUCAUUAAGUCAGUUAUGGUUGCUUUGAUCGCUCCAUCUGUUACUUGGAUAACAUGGAUAUUCUAGAGCUAAUACAAGCCGACGAGUGCUGACCUUCUGAGAUGCAUGCAUUUAUCAGACCAAGACCAAUCUGGUCUCACUCAGCCGCUCUGGUGACUCUAGAUAACCUUGGGCCGAUUACACGCCCGUGUGACGGUGACGAUAUAUUCAGAUGUCUGCCCUAUCAAUUUUCAGUGGUACUUUCGGUGCCUACUCUGGUGACCACGAGUAAUGCAGAAUCAGGGUUUGAUUCCAGAGAAGGAUUCUGAGAAAUGGCUACCAAAUCCAAGGAAGGCAGCAGACGUGCAAAUUACUCACUCCUGAAUUGCGGAGGUAGUGAUGAAAAAUAACAAUACAGGACUCUGUCGAGGCCCUGUAAUUGGAAUGAGUACACUUUAAAUCCUUAAACGAAGAUCCAUUGGAGGGCAAUUCUGGUGCCAUUUAGCCAGGGAAAUUCCAGCUUCAAUAGUGUUGUUUAAAGUUGAUGCAGUUAGAACGCUCAUAGUUGGCUUUUAGAAUCGAGUUGGCAGUCUGCCGUGAGGCAAGAGACUGCCUGUCCCAGACCCUGCCUCUCAGCGCCCCCUUGAUGCUCUUAACUGAAUGUCCUGGGGGUCCAAAGCAUUUACUUUGAAAAAAUUAGAAUGUUCAAAGCAGGCAGGUGUGCUAAAUAUGUCAGCUAGGAAUAAUAGAAGAGGACUCUGGUUCUCUUUUGUUGGUUUUCGGAACUGAGGCGAUGGCUGGGGGCAUUCAUAUUGUGCUGCUGGAGGUGAAAUUCUUGGAACGGUGCAAGACGAACCAAAGCACAAGCAUUUGACAAGAAUGUUUUCAUUAAUCAAGAAUGGAGGUUCAAAGACGAUCAGAUACCGUCGUAGUUCCAACCAUACACGAUAUUGACUAACGAUGCAGCAGCGUGAUUCCAAUGACCUGCCGAGCAGCUUCAGUGAAACCAAAGUCUUUGGAUUCCAGGGGGAGUAUAGUAGCAAAGUGAAAUCUUAAAGGAAUUGAUGGAAGGACACCACUAGGAGUGGAGCUUGCAGCUUAAUUUGACUCAGCACGGGAAACUUCAUCCGGCCCGGACAUUGAAAGGAUUGGCAGAUUUAUAGCUCUUUCUCAAUUCUGUGGGUGGUGGUGCAUGGCCGUUCUUAGUUGGUGGAGUGAUUUUUAUGGUUAAUUCUGAUCACGAACGAGACUCCUUUAUGCUAAAUAGUUACAUGAUACCCAGCAUCCGUCGUUCAACUUCUUAGAGGGACAGGUGGCGUUCAACCACAUGAGAUAGAGCAAUAACAGGGCUGUGAUUCUCUUAGAUGUUUGGUGGUGCAUGCUCAAUACACUGAGCGGAUCAGCGUGUGCCUACUCUUCGCCGACAAGUCCGGGUAACUGCUGAACCCUGUAUGUGAUAGGGAUUGGAGAUUGAAAUUAUUUCCAAUGAACUAGGAUGCCCAAUAAGUGAGGGUCAUAAGCUUGCAUGAUUAAGUCGCUUUCCUUUUUACACACCACCAGUUGCUACUACCGGUUGCAUGGUUUAGUGAGGUCAUCAUAUCGGCCCAGCCAGGAUCGGCAAUGGCUCUGGUGGAAUGCCUAAAAGAUGAUUACACUUAACUAUUGUUACACUCACCUGGUCUCUGUGGAGGCGUUGGGGCACGGUUGCAAC